AUUACGUACAGAUCGUGAGUCCGAGAAUUUCAAAAAGUGAAGUGAUUAUUACUAUAUAAGAACUUUUAAGGGAGAACCACCUGGAGGUCAACCUGACAGGGUAUACUGCUAGCAAUGACGACUUGGAAGGAUUAUUAGUAAUGGAGACUAAAGGCGCCAUUACAAGCAAUCUACUUAACCAGGUCGAUCUCCAAGUAGUCUCCAUCGUGCUGAAAUCCAGGUGUUUUCAUAACGAUCAUCAUACCUCACUG